rnacentral:misc_RNA from 1 species
UACGUAGGUGACAAGCGUUGUCCGGAUUUACUGGGCGUAAAGCGCGCGUAGGCGGACUAUUAAGUCAGGGGUGAAAUCCUGGGGCUCAACCUCAGAAUAGCCUUCGAUACUGGCGGUCUCGAGUGCGGGAGAGGUGAGUGGAAUUCCCAGUGUAGAGGUGAAAUUCGUAGAUAUUGGGAAGAACACCAGUGGCGAAGGCGGCUCACUGGCCCGCAACUGACGCUGAGGUGCGAAAGCUAGGGGAGCAAACAGG